CCUACGUGAGGCUGCAGUGGGGAAUAUUGCACAAUGGGGGAAACCCUGAUGCAGCGACGCCGCGUGAGCGAUGAAGUAUUUCGGUAUGUAAAGCUCUAUCAGCAGGGAAGAAAAUGACGGUACCUGACUAAGAAGCCCCGGCUAAUUCCGUGCCAGCAGCCGCGGUAAUACGUAGGGGGCAAGCGUUAUCCGGAUUUACUGGGUGUAAAGGGAGCGUAGACGGCGGUGCAAGCCAGAUGUGAAAGCCCGGGGCUCAACCCCGGGACUGCAGUUGGAACUGUGCUUCUUGAGUGUCGGAGAGGCAGGCGGAAUUCCUAGUGUAGCGGUGAAAUGCGUAGAUAUUAGGAGGAACACCAGUGGCGAAGGCGGCCUGCUGGACGAUGACUGACGGUGAGGCUCGAAAGCGUGGGGAGCAAACAGGAUUAGAUACCCGGGUAGUC
rnacentral:rRNA from 1 species